CCCGGCUCUGGCAGCACCAGGAGCCUGCUGAGACACCGGGCUGGGACUCCAGCCGCUGGGGAACAUCUUGAGAAAACAAGAGGAUGUGUUAUCCCUUCAGAAAUCACCAGAGUAGAUGGGGUAGAGGAGCAGCCAGGGAAAUGAGGGAUGCUAUCUCUUUGCUCAUCUGCAAAAAGUGGAGAGUCACACCUGAGGCAUCCAAAGAGGCCAGCAAGAUCCAGAGAAGGGAGAUGGGCAUUAAGGUUAAGCCAGAAAACUGCUGGGCACUAACACCCUCACCGCCUUGGCAGCAGUCAGCGCAGCAUGUGUAAUUGCAGCUUCAGUGACCUGCU